UGAGGAAUAUUGGUCAAUGGGCGGGAGCCUGAACCAGCCAAGCCGCGUGAGGGAAGAAGGCCCUAUGGGUCGUAAACCUCUUUUGUCAGGGAACAAAAGCGAGUAUGUAUACUAGUCUGAGUGUACCUGAAGAAAAAGCAUCGGCUAACUCCGUGCCAGCAGCCGCGGUAAUACGGAGGAUGCGAGCGUUAUCCGGAUUUAUUGGGUUUAAAGGGUGCGUAGGCGGCGAUGCAAGUCAGCGGUAAAAGCCCGGGGCUCAACCCCGGCGAGCCGUUGAAACUGCAGUGCUAGAGAAGGCGAGAGGUACGCGGAAUGCGCAGUGUAGCGGUGAAAUGCUUAGAUAUUGCGCAGAACUCUGAUUGCGAAGGCAGCGUACUGGCGCCUGACUGACGCUGAGGCACGAAAGCGUGGGGAUCGAAACAGGAUUGAGAUACC
rnacentral:rRNA from 1 species